rnacentral:rRNA from 1 species
GGAAGUAAAAGUCGUAACAAGGUCUCCGUAGGUGAACCUGCGGAGGGAUCAUUACACAAUAUGAAGGCGGGCUGGACAACCCCCCUAGCUGGGCACUGCUUCACGGCGGUGCGCGGUUUGGGUGGCCGGCCCUGCUGAACUAUUCACCCGUGUCUUUUGCGUACCUCUUGUUUCCUGGGCGGGCUCGCCCGCCACCAGGACCAACCAUAAACCUUUUUGUAAUAGCAAUCCGCGUCAGUAACAAUGUAAUCAAUUACAACUUUCAACAACGGAUCUCUUGGUUCUGGCAUCGAUGAAGAACGCAGCGAAAUGCGAUACGUAGUGUGAAUUGCAGAAUUCAGUGAAUCAUCGAAUCUUUGAACGCACAUUGCGCCCUUUGGUAUUCCAAAGGGCAUGCCUGUUCGAGCGUCAUUUGUACCCUCAAGCUUUGCUUGGUGUUGGGCGUCUUUUGUCUCCAGCUUGCUGGAGACUCGCCUUAAAGUCAUUGGCAGCCGGCCUACUGGUUUCGGAGCGCAGCACAAGUCGCGCUCUCUUCCAGCCAAGGUCAGCGUCCAGCAAGCCUUUUUUUCAACCUUUGACCUCGGAUCAGGUAGGGAUACCCGCUGAACUUAAGCAU